rnacentral:rRNA from 1 species
AUAUUGGACAAUGGGGGCAACCCUGAUCCAGCCAUGCCGCGUGUGUGAAGAAGGUCUUCGGAUUGUAAAGCACUUUAAGUUGGGAGGAAGGGCUUUAGGUUAAUACCCUGAAGUUUUGACGUUACCACUAGAAUAAGCACCGGCUAACUCUGUGCCAGCAGCCAGGGUAAUCCAGAGGGUGCAAGCGGUAAUCGGUAUUACGGGGCGUAAAGCGCGAGUAGGUGGUUCAGUAAGAUGGGUGUGAAAUCCCAGGGCUUAACCUGGGAACUGCUUUCAUAACUGCUGAGCUAGAGUACGGUAGAGGGUAGUGGAAUUUCCUGUGUAGCGGUGAAAUGCGUAGAUAUAGGAAGGAACACCAGUGGCGAAGGCGACUACCUGGACUGAUACUGACACUGAGGUGCGAAAGCGUGGGGAGCAAACAGG